CAAGAACAUCUUGUCGUUAAAUACCUAAAACCGAUUUUAAAUCAGUCAAGUGCAAGAAGUCAGUGCUGUUUUAGUAAGAUAUGUCCUGCAAUAGAUCUGUACGACGUUGCAAUGCGACAGCAUGACGCAAUUGGUGUCAGGUGUGGCUUCGCCCGUGCUGGGCUCCCACGAAGCCCUCGAGACGGAGAUAAAGCGGCUUCGCGAGCGCCUCCAGACGGUAGAGUCGGAAAACGCUGCGAUGAGCGUCAAGUUGAGUCAACAGCAAUGGGAACUCGAGCACCGAUUGGCCGAAAUCGAGAUGCAGAUCUGCGGCUCGCGGUCCUCCAGCAGUUUGGCGGAGGAGGAGAACGAGAGGAACAGGGAGAGCAUCAUUUAACAACAAAAUGCGCUGCCUUACCAUGUACUACAGACUUUCGUUCAAUAUAUUGUGUAAUGGCGGCGGAUUGACUUAUCGUUCCGAUGACUUUUAUGACGAUUUUUAGUGAAUUUUUACUGUUGUUGAACCGAAGAGACAUUCUUAGUGAACAGUUUACCAAAUUGACUGCCAAAUUUUAUGUACGAUACCUUAGAUAGACCGUUUACUGAGGAUAAAAAUUGAUGAAUUCGAA
rnacentral:misc_RNA from 1 species